ACUGCUCUUACCUUCACAGUCUCCUCCAGAGGGAGCCUCUAAACCAUAUAUUUGUAAGUUAAGUUAUGCAAAAGUGAACUUAAUAUACAAGUUGGUGUUUAUUAUGGUCUAUGCAUAGUAAAUAAAGGCAUUCUAACUUUAAAACCCACCUGCUUGAACCUUAGUUUCUUCUAACCAUUUCACACUUUUGUUGGAUUCGAUUUAACCUGUUGUUGUUUUCUAUGAUUCCCCAUUUCAGCUCAACGUUGGAAGCUCCAGACACAUUAAUUGCUCAAGGAUAUCCAAAGUCCAUUGAUGGUUAAACAUUAAUCAUUGUAAUAAAAUGCUCUACGGAGAAAAGGAAAGAGUUUAACUUAUCUUCAACAGACUCUCCAUUUUAAACUUGCUGUGGCAGCGUUCAGAGUCAAAAAAUACCCAUCCCUAUGGUGAAGCACGGUGGUGGCAAGGACUGGGAGACUAGUCAGGAUCGAGGCAAAGAUGAACAGAGAAAAGUACAGAUCAAUCCUUGAUGAAAACCUGCUCAAGAGUGCUCAGGACCUCAGACUGGGGCAAAGAUUCACCUUCCAACAGGUAGCAAUGCUUCCCAUCAUACCUGACAGAAACUCCCCAAAUAAAGGUGUGCCGUGCUUGUAGCGUCACACCCAAGAAGACUCAAGGCUUUAAUUGCUGCCAAAUGUGCUUCAACAAAGUACUGAGUGAAGGGUAUGAAUACUUAUGUAAAUGUGAUAUUUCCAUUUUUUUUAUUUUUUUUACUACAAAACAUUCUAAAAACCUGCUUUUCCUUUGUCCUUAUGGGGUAUUGUGUGUAGAUUGAGUAAAUAAAUAAUGUAAUACAUAUUAGAUUAAGGAUGUAACCUAACAAAAUGUGGAAACAGUCAAGGGGGUCUGACAACUUUUCAAAGUCACUGUAUAUAUCCAUUAUACUUUGUGAUAUAAAAUGGGAAAAGGCAAAAAAAAACUAUAGUCCCAACUAACCAUAUACUCAUUAAAAACCCACCACCAUAUUUCACCCUAUCUAAUCCUACACCAGGCCAACUACCAGAACACUACCACUCAACACCCCACUGCAACUCUUCUGCAGUAAAACCUCGCAAGUACAUGUCACGUUCUUUCAAAAUCGAACCCAGAAGCAGACUAGGACAAGGAGAGUAGGAAGAAGGUGAGUAUUUAUUUACAAGUGAAUGUGAAUGGGUAGAUAUAUCCAGGUGGCGUAGCGGGCAGCGGUGGUGAGUUGAUGGGAGUAAAUAGGUGGAUCCAAUGGGGUAGCGGAAUCCUCCGACAACCAGGCGGGAAUGGGGUAAAUGAUCCGGAUGAGUAACUGAAGACAGAACAAACGGAGGUAAGUUUAAGGCAAGCAAUACGUAAAAAACAACAAAACAAAUUCUAUCCAACUUGAGGCUGAUACUAUGGCACAACAUACUGUUCAUGGCUAACGAUCCGGCAGGGAAUGGAUGUCAGGUCAGAGGUUUUGAAGGGGAGAGGUGAUGAUCAGGACAGGUGUGCAGAUUACUGAUGGGAUACAGGUGCGGGUGAACAUCGAUCUCCCAACAAGCUAAUUCGCCCGGCAACCAGACAGGGUGCGUUCCAGGACACCGGAAACACACUCCAGGACAGAAACACAGGCAAACACAGACCCAGGAAGCGGGAUUCGUGACAAUACAUCUCUGCAGCUGCCACCGUAACCUCUGUUUUCUAUGAGUUGCGGUCCAUUUUCUAAAGUAGAAUUGACAACCAUGGAUAUGAACGGUAAGAAACCCACCGCACUGAAACAUAUUAUUCCUACCACUCUUUAUUGGCCUCUCAGGAUCCCUCGCCAUGUACCCAUCUUCCAGUACAACUCCCUUCACUGCCUCAGCACAUGACGCCUUCUGUACUACUCUGACCCUGGCAACCUCAACCAGCCUUUCGUUUCGUGCCCUCCUGCACACUUCUCACAUCUAGGAAUCUCCUUCCUACACAAUGCUGCAACAUGACCAUAAGCUUGACACCUAUAACAAUGCCGACCGUAUUACCCCCCAAGAGAAUUCCCUUUGAUUAUAGUCACAGCCGUGUAUAUUCCCCCUCAAGACGAUACCACGACGGCCCUCAAAGAACUUCACUGGACUCUAUGCACACUGGAAACCACAUAUCCUGAGGCUACAUUUAUUGUAACUGGGGAUUUUAACAAAUCACAUUUGAGGAAAAUGCUAUCAAGUUCUAUCAACACUUUGACUGUAGUACUCGCGCUGCUAAAACACUCGACCACUGCAACUCCAACUUCCGGGAUGCCUACAAGGCCCUCGUCUACCCUCCCUUUCGCUUCACCCACAAUAACAUCUGCUAAACACGUGUAUGUGACCAAUACAACUUGAUUUGAUUUGACAUCCUAACUUAACUUUGUCGGGUAAAGACUCUGCAUCAAAUCUCAUCAGGACAGACAAAGUCUUCUCUGUUUCAUGACGCUCUCCACCGGUUCUGCGUCGUAUCAAUCGGCAGGUGUCACAUACACCAGGAAUCUUCCAUUUCAGUUGCUCCUCCUCAACAUUUAAUGCCACUCAGUUAGCACUCCUUUCAAUUGCACCCUGCUCCGGAGAUCUUGUCCCUAGUUACGCGGUUCGGCGCGUCCACUCCCUCUGGACAGAAGAAAUGCAAAAAAUCAAAAAAGUCCACUUCGAGUUACAUUCACCGACUCAGCAGUGCCCAACCUCUUCUCCACCCAAACUGACACCACACAUGAAUCCGCCAGCAGGUUAGGAUCCAUUAUCUCCAAACUUCUCACUCCAACUGGGCCAGAAUCAUCCUUAUCAUUAUUGGGACGAGGCUCAACCCUCCGCCAUCUUCACCACACCUGCCACUGCAGGUAAUUCAUCCUGAAUCUUGUCAGAUUAAUUUUCGUCCUCCACCCAAGUGUUGUGAUCACAGAAACCUUUCAGAUCUUUGGUAUUGUUCGUCUGUAACUCCAUCUUCAAUUCAAACCAUAGGUUUUCAAUGGGUUUCAAGUCCGGAGACUGAGAUUGUCAUUGCAAAAUGUUGAAAAAUGUUUUGUGACCAAUUAACCAUUUAUUUGUGGAUUGUGACGUGUGCUUGGGGUCAUUGUCUUGCUGAAAGGUCCACUUGCGGCCGAGUGUCAGCCUUCUGGCAGAGGCAACCAGGUUUUUGGCUAAAAUGUCAUGGUACUGGGUAAAUUUCAUGAUGCCGUUGCACCUUAACAAGGGCCCCAGGACCAUUGGAACAAAAUAACCCCAUAACAUCAAAGAUCCACCAUAUGUUAUAGUAGUUAUGGGGUUAUUUUCUGCUCAUGAAUUCUCUUUUCGACACCAAACCCACCACAGGUGUGCAUGGCCAUGUAGCUCUAUUUUACUUAUUCGCGGGGACUGCAAUUAUUGACACCCUUGAUAAAGAUGAGCAAUAAAAACUGUAUUCAAUAAAUAAUUCAGAUACUGAGCUAUAUUGUACGUUAAAAAAAUCCAUAAAUUAUAUUAUUUUAUACAGAUACAAUUGCUCAGAGAAAUAGAUUUUGUUGAAAAAAUUAUAUAUGUAUUUUUUGUCAAAAAAGUAGGGUUAGGGUCAACAUUAUUGACAAUUAUUAUUGACACCCAUAAAGAUUCUUAUGAAUAAAGUAUUCAAAAGGUUAGUAUUCGGUCCCAUAUUCCUAGAACGUAAUGAGUACAUCAAGCUUGUGACUCUAAAAACUUGUUGGAUACAUUUUCAAUUAGUUUUGGUUGUGUUUCCGAUUAUUUUGUGCCCAAUAGAAGUUAAUGGUAAAUAAUGUAUUGUGUCAUUUUGGAGGCAGUUUUACAACAAAUAUGAAUAAAGUGUUGGAUUACAGAGCUAAUACAACCAAAAAUGUGUCACUGUCCCAAUACUUUUGUAUACAUAUAUACUUCCAUCAAUUCCUUUUCUUAUUCCCCUACAUAGUUUGGAGCUUGAUGGUUGAUCAUGCAGGAAAUUAUGAACACUUUUAUAAUUAAUAUGUGUCAUGAUUUUUGGGACUAAUAGACCACACACACACACACACACACACACACACACACACACACACACACACACACACACACACACACCUAUAUCAUUUUAUGUUUCAUUUUUAACAUGUGAUCACAUUUCCUACCACAAAUAAGAUAAAAUAUCAAACAUCGUUAUUGAAUUUAAUCUUUAAUUUAUUUUUAUUUUUAACAUUAAUAUUACCACAUUGCUUACCACAAAUUCAAUUAAAUUAGAUAGUUUUUUUCAAUGGUCAUGCUAAUUCAUUAUAGAACAAACAAAACACGUUGAAAAAAACACGUUGAAAUAUGUUAAUGUUAUUGGAUUCAUAUUUUGUGUUAAAAUAUCCGAAUGAUUUUUAACAUUGAAACAAUAAUUACAUUGACGUUUUUUUUUCAGUGGAUGUGACAUUCGACACUGCACAUGUCAAACUCUCUUUAUCUGAUGAUAACAAAUGUCUCAAAUUUGUUGAAUUAAAAGAAAAAAAGGAUUGUGAUAAUUUCAAAGAAAAAUGCAAAGGAAGCGGCAGCAUGAAGUUUGAAGAAGAACACAAAGAAGAAGACACAGAGCGUUUUGGAGGAAAACCUACAGAAAAUAUGGAUGUGACAUUCGACGCUGACACUGCACAUGUCAAACUCUCUUUAUCUGAUGAUAACAAAUGUCUCAAAUUUGUUGAAUUAAAAGAAAAAAAGGAUUGUGAGAAUUUCAAAGAAAAAUGCAAAGGAAGCGGCAGCAUGAAGUUUGAAGAAGAACACAAAGAAGAAGACACAGAGCGUUUUGGAGGAAAACCUACAGAAAAUAGUAUGUUAAAUGUUUCAGGAAAAGACAAAGACAAGAAAACUGGAUUAUUUAACAGACACACACACACACACACACCUUUUUUCCCCACGCCAUUGGUUAGAGCCUGUAUGUAAGUAAGCAUUUCACUGUCUACACCUGUUGUAUUAGGCGCAAGUGACAAAUAAACUUUGA